rnacentral:rRNA from 1 species
UACGUAGGGUGCGAGCGUUGUCCGGAAUUAUUGGGCGUAAAGAGCUCGUAGGCGGUUUGUUGCGUCUAUCGUGAAAACCUGCAGCUUAACUGUGGGCUUGCGGUGGAUACGGGGCAGACUUGAGUUCGGUAGGGGGAGACUGGAAUUCCUGGUGUAGCGGUGAAAUGCGCAGAUAUCAGGAGGAACACCGGUGGCGAAGGCGGGUCUCUGGGCCGGAUACUGACGCUGAGGAGCGAAAGCGUGGGGAGCGAACAGG